rnacentral:rRNA from 1 species
AACGGGUGGAGCUUGCGGUUUAAUUGGAUUCAACGCCGGAAUCUUACCGGGACCGACAGCAAUAUGAAGGCCAGGCUGAAGACUUUGCCGGAUUAGCUGAGAGGUGGUGCAUGGCCGUCGUCAGUUCGUACUGUGAAGCAUCCUGUUAAGUCAGGCAACGAGCGAGACCCACGCCCACAGUUGCCAGCGUACUCUCUGGAGUGACGGGUACACUGUGGGACCGCCGCUGCUAAAGCGGAGGAAGGAAUGGGCAACGGUAGGUCAGUAUGCCCCGAAUAUCCCGGGCUACACGCGAGCUACAAUGGUUGGUACAAUGGGUAUCUACCCCGAAAGGGGACGGGAAUCUCCUAAAACCAAUCUUAGUUCGGAUUGAGGGCUGCAACUCGCCCUCAUGAAGCUGGAAUCCGUAGUAAUCGCGUUUCAACAGAACGCGGUGAAUACGUCCCUGCUCCUU